UACAGAGGUGGCAAGCGUUGUUCGGAAUUACUGGGCGUAAAGGGCGCGUAGGCGGUCUUGUCAGUCCCUUGUGAAAUCCCCCGGCUCAACUGGGGAACUGCACGGGAACAGCAGGGCUUGAGUUCGGGAGAGGGAAGCGGAAUUCCGGGUGUAGCGGUGAAAUGCGUAGAUAUCCGGAGGAACACCGGUGGCGAAGGCAGCCCCCUGGGUCAACACUGACGCUCCAUGCACGAAGCGUGGGGAGAA
rnacentral:rRNA from 1 species